UACGGAGGGGGCUAGCGUUGUUCGGAAUUACUGGGCGUAAAGCGCACGUAGGCGGCUGUUCAAGUCAGAGGUGAAAGCCUGGAGCUCAACUCCAGAACUGCCUUUGAAACUAGACAGCUUGAAUCAUGGAGAGGCGGGUGGAAAUCCGAGUGUAGAGGUGAAAUUCGUAGAUAUUCGGAAGAACACCAGUGGCGAAGGCGGCCAGCUGGAUAGGUAUUGACGCUGAGGUGCGAAAGCGUGGGGAGCAAACAGG
rnacentral:rRNA from 1 species